GCAGCGAGAUAUACUCUCCAGCAAUGGACGAAAGUCUGACCGAGCAACGCCGCGUGAGUGAAGAAGGUUUUCGGAUCGUAAAACUCUGUUGUUAGAGAAGAAACAAGGAGACCGUUAGUAACUGAACGUCGCCCUGACGGUAUCUAACCAGAAAGCCACGGCUAACUACGUGCCAGCAGCCGCGGUAAU
rnacentral:rRNA from 1 species